CCUUCCUUAGCUCAGUUGGAAGAGCGUCAGACUGUAAUGGAUACCUUAGAAUCUGAAUGUCGCCUGUUCGAACCAGGCAGGAAGGA
rnacentral:tRNA from 1 species